CUUUUCUACCUGACAACGGACCAAGCGCAACCCGGUCAUAACGCUGAUUCAACGGACAACAGGCACAGCAACAACUAACAAUCCUGCUGCAGCAAUCCAGUUCUCCUUCUUCCAAUAUUUGAAAUAAAAUUAUGGCUCUCUUACUCCGGAAAACAUGGAGAUUUAUCUUCUCCUCUUCACGCUUACCUCCUCUUUCACCAUCCGCAGCUCGAGAAUUCCGUUCAGAUGCGGCUCUAGAAGCCAUAUCAAAAGCAAAUGAAGAAAAAACCCCAAUCGCUGUGCUCUAUAACUACCCCUCUUUCUCCGGUGCUUUCUCCGCUUUAUUUGCUCACCUUUUUCACUCUCGUCUCAAUCUCCCUUGCCUCAUCUUGCCUUUCUCAUCCGUCGAACCCUUCAGGGUUGAAGAUUUUAGAAUUGAAAGGCUUGAGAGAUGUUACCUUCUUGAUUUUAUCGGUCCACGUGGAUUUGCUUCAACUCUUUCCCGCCAAUCAAAUUGCCAGGUAAUUUGUUUUGAUCAUCGAAAAUCGGUGCUUUCAAGGGUGCAAUCGAAAGAGGAUUGUGCAGAGAAAGUUAAUUUUUCUGUUGACGUUGAGAAGAGUAGCUCCACUUCUGUCUACGAGUACUUCUCGAAGAAGAUUCUAGAUAACAAUGGGGGAGUUGAGGGAUUAUUGAAAGCGGAAGAUCAAGAUCGUGUUGAAAUGGUUCUGAAGUACAUUGAAGAUAUGGACCUUCGACGGUGGAGUUUACCGGAUAUUAGAGCUUUCAACGUUGGAAUUGGUGAAUGGCGCUCCAAGUUUAAUUAUGUCACCAACCCGUACAUGUUUGAAGAGCUGCUGGAGAUAAGUCCUGUUGAUAUAAUUGAGAAAGGAAAUUCAUAUAUUUCAUCGCGUUGGACUGCUGCUAGUAAGUUGAUGGAUAAGGUUUUUAAAGUUCGAUUGGGUCGAGGAGUUUAUGGAGAGUGCCUGCUUCUGUUCUGUUAUUAUAGGGAGUUAGAGCAGAUGGCAAUUCUCAUUUUAGUGAUGAAAUCGGCAAGGAACUUAGUGUAAAAAGUGCUGCAGCUGGUCUUAGGUAAUUUUUCUGUAGUUUGUAUGUGGACAUUCUCUUCUACUCUGGCACUAUCUUCUAGAUAUGGAGUAGUAUUUCUAAUUUUCUAACAUGGUAGUUAAAAUAUUAAACAUGAACCUGACUUAACAUCCUGAGGUUUUUUGCUUAUGUAGCUGCUGAUUGUAUGUGGACAUUUUCUUCUACUCUGGCACUGUCUUCUAGAAAUAGAGUAGUAUUUCUAAUUUUCUACUAUGGUAGUUAAAAUAUUAAACAUGAACCUGACUUAACAUCCGGAGUAUUUUUUGCUUAUGUAGCUGAUUGGGGCCCUCUUGUCUUUUCCUGGGUAAGGGGCGGGCUUGGGGGAUAGGGUUUGCAGUGCAAGAGGUCUCUUCUGCCCAAUAUUGUGACCAUCUUAGUUGCCUUCUCUUUGGCAUACUGUAGUUUCAAAGUUAAUGAAUUUCAUAUUCCACGGCCCUGAUUUCCGUUGUUUUUGUUGGUAUCUCAUGUUGUCAUGGACUCAAGUGUUGAAAGUAAUUUCCUUCAGAAUUCCUUAAAAGUUUCUAUGAGAUGUUAUGGAUUUCUUGAACAAUAUGAAUUUUAGUUUGUCAAUCAUGUGCUGUCAAAAACUUUGGACUGGAUAGAAGUGGCAUUGAUGAAUAGCUGGUCACCAGCUGGUGACCUUGAAAUCUGUCCUUUAGUUUGAAGUGAACAAAGUUAGAAGAAGGUCUAUUUUGAAGAGUUGGUGAAACUUUCACAAUUGAUCGACAUCAUAGUAUUGGGCCCUCGUUUGAGAAUGAUUGGUGGAUUGGGGGUGGAAUGUGUUAAUUUGUGUCAGCAUAAUUUUCUUAGUGUAGCUCUUGGAACUUAAACACAAUAAGCUCAACCUUGGGUUAUUUAAGCAACACAGGUUUUUCAAAAAGGAUAACUGUAUAAACACUGCAGAUUUUCUUUGGCAUAUUAUCAGAUGUGCAUUAAGUGAAUUUCUUGCAUUAAAAAUUGGUAUGCUAGAAUUAAAAUGAUGUUAUUUAACUGGCUUUUUCUUGACAAUGUUGUGACUAGGAGAACAACUCGGUGAUGCAAUAUAUCAUCAUGAGAUUAAGCCCAUAGGAGCUGUUGUGUACAUGCUAAGAAAUGAUCUUAAGAUGUGCCUGAGGAGCAUUGAUAGUGCUACCGAUACCUCUGAAGUUGCAAAGG